rnacentral:rRNA from 1 species
GACAGAGGGGGCAAGCGUUGCUCGGAAUCACUGGGCGUAAAGGGCGCGUAGGCGGGAUGGCAAGUCAGUCGUGAAAUCUCUCGGCUCAACCGAGAAACGUCGGCUGAUACUGCCGUUCUUGAGGGAUGCAGAGGAGACUGGAAUUCCCGGUGUAGCGGUGAAAUGUGUAGAGAUCGGGAGGAACGACCGGUGGCGAAGGCGGGUCUCUGGGCAUCUCCUGACGCUGAGGCGGCGAAAGCGUGGGGAGCAAACGGG